UUGCUCAGGCGCUGUCCACGCCCCGAGGCCUGGGCUCGGGCCAAAGUUGCUUCACAACACCCCCAGCUGACAGCCAGCGACUGGCAGAGCCCCCAGGCACGGGGGCCCUCUCUCUUCCAGACAUCUCCAGUGUGACAGCCCAGGCGGCAGAGCCGAGGGUGAGUGACCAGGGUUUGCCUCAGGGGUGGGGCAAGAAGGAAGAGGCCGUGUCCUUGACAGGA
rnacentral:lncRNA from 1 species